rnacentral:rRNA from 1 species
AUACGGAGGGUGCAAGCGUUGUUCGGAAUUAUUGGGCGUAAAGCGCGUGUAGGCGGUCUGUUAAGUCUGGUGUGAAAGCCCAGGGCUCAACCCAGGAAGUGCAUUGGAUACUGGCAGACUUGAGUAUGGGAGAGGAAAGCGGAAUUCCGAGUGUAGGAGUGAAAUCCGUAGAUAUUAGGAUGAACACCAGUGGCGAAGGCGGCUUUCUGGACCAAUACUGACGCUGAGACGCGAAAGCGUGGGGAGCAAACAGGAUUAGAAACCCUAGUAGUCC